GGUGGGAUGCUCAGGGGUUAGAGCUUACGUCUCGUAACCGAAAGGUCGCGGGAUCGAAUCCCGCUAGAGGCU
rnacentral:tRNA from 1 species